GAAUUAUGCCUUGCAUAAACCUAGAGAGGAAACAAAAGAUAAAAUUGUGAAGUAUAGAGAGUAUUUUGACCGUUUAAAAAGAGAGGAUUUUGUAUGGCAACCAUACUUGGAGUUACUACCUACAUUACCUCCUUACUGUUUUGAGGACUCACAAGUAUGGAGGUCAACUGUCCCAUUGAUUAAUUUCCACAUCGUCGAGUAUCAUUACGCAGAUCGUGUCAUGCGACAAUUUGGGAUGGUCCAACACAUUCCUGCGCCUCCUAUUCAUCCGGAGAAAUUGCAUGAUCUUUCCUUGAGAGGCAAGGAUAACACGGACUGGUCACGCAUGCACGUUCAAUUUGUGCAGGAGUGGCAGUCACGACUUCAUCGUGUAUGGACACAACCUGCGUGUGAUACACCACACUUGAGCAAUAGCUCAGAAUACAUGGUGUGGUAUAGGAAACAUACAAGGCGAUGGAUUUCUCCUUCAGUGCAAAGGAAGGAUAUGUGACCGAUGUUCUGGAACACAUGUAUCAUAGCACCAGUGAAGAACAUAGGGAUUCCUUCGAUUUAACAAACACAGCAGCUAUGCAACAAAUCACAUAACAAAACAAACAAAAGACAAAUAAGUUCGAUGAUGAAAUAUUUUCAAUGGCAUUCGUAUAUUUAUAGACCCAUGAACAGUACAUUUGUCUACAAAAGACAUCAUCUACACCGUUGAUUCUGUCGGUGCGAUCAGGGCCGUUCGUUUCCCUUGUUACUAGGAGUCAAAACUUCUGACCCAUGAACAGUGUUUGUUGCAAAUUCGAGAUGAUCUACACCGUUGAUUCUGUCGGUGCGAUCACGACCGUUCUUUUGCCCUGUUACUACGAGACAACACUUCUGACCCAUGAACAGUGUUUGUUUUAAAUUCGAGAUGAUCUACACCGUUCAUUUUGUCGGUGUGAUCAGGACCGUUCGUUUCCCAUGUUACUAGGAGACAACACUUCUGACCCAUGAACAGUGUUUCUUUAAAAUUCGAGAUGAUCUACACUGUUGAUU